rnacentral:lncRNA from 1 species
CAUGCUAGCUGACUGAAUUACCUCGCAAAGCUUCUGUUCUUGCAUUUCUACAUCGCCCUUGGUGCUGAAAAUAUAUAAAACAUUAGGCUAACGCUUAACAAGAUUUUGAUACUUCAGGUGAUAGGAACUAUCUACACAAAUAUAGGAUUAUGCAUAUGGAUAGUUAGCAUGCAGCAGUCAGUUUCACAGGAUGUUGCUGAUGAGCAACCUAUUGCUGCCCUUGUUCUCAUAUAUCGGAACGUACACAGAUCCAUCGAGCAGAACCAUCAGCUUGAUGUCAUUCAUUCCUUGAGAUCCACAGCAACAUAAUUUGACACACAUAUUGGGAUUACUAACAAGCUGACCUCCAGAUCCUUUCUGGAUACACCAAUACUCAGAUUUUUUUUUCUUAGUGGGAACUACUAAUAUGAGAAGUUAUCUGAUACAUAACACAAUUACCACUCAAUAUAGGAUAAAUUGUUCCAUGGGAGUAUCUUCUAGCUUUUUUACUUUCUUUUGAUCCAAAGUAGGCGCUGGGACAAAGUAAAUCUUUAAACACUUCUGUAGUAAAUUCAAAACAAUAAGAAGUCGUUUAACUGGCAGAACAUAGCAUUAUGAAAAUAUAUAGCAAAGUCAUUUUUGUGUAUGCUGGUUGCAACAUCGACACAACACAUAUUCUAGCAAACAGACCUAUGUUCGACACAUUCUACCACAAAGUGCCUGUCCAAAGAUCCUACAUUUUGGUACAGAGGUUGUACGUCACAAACCAUCUAUCCUAUCAUCAGUGUAUGCAGUAUGCAGUACACCAUUUUCCAUAGCUGGAAAGAGACCAUGCAUCAUAAUCUGGUCACAAUAUGUAGACAGAAGUGACAAAAUAGGGAGGCACACCUUCACAAAACAGUUCUUAGUAAUUAUAGAAUGCCCUCUAUUAACUGAAGUAAAAUCAAGCAUGUAUGUGUGCUCACUGAAAUGUAUAUGCACCAUUGCCGAUUGAAACAAGAUACACACAGCCGAUUGAUAACCGACAGUUGAAUUAUUGGCGGUCGAAUGUAUGUAUGUGUCCCCCCUCGCCUCUUGUAUGUAUAAAGGACCAAAAUGAUGG